GAGAAAAAACCGUCGCUCCCAAAUCCCCCAUCGUUGCGCCCCCUCCUCUCUACAACCAACCUCGCCCUGCCCCCCAUCGCCGCGCCCCCUCCUCUCUGCAACCAACCUCGCCCUGCCCCCCAUCGCCGCGCCCCAUCACUAGCGCUGCAGACGCCUCACUCCCUCCCUCCUCGACCAUCGCCGGAUCGCGGCAGCCGGCCCCCGACGACGCUCUCGCUCCAUCCUCCCCAAUCCCGGCGGCUCCUCGGCGGGUUCGUCACCACGGUGACUGAGCCCCCGCCUCGCCCUUGCGUUCUGUCCGUCAUGACUCCUCGCCCCCACGCCGCUAGCCAGAAUCAUUCCUGUGCGACCGGAGACCCUGACAUUACCUCUCGCUACCAGCACCGCUGUCUUCUCCCUUUGUCGAGAUAUCCAUUUUCUCUGUCUUGUCCUCCGUUGAAUGUCUCCCUGCCGAUUCUGUGGGAUUGGGUGAUUUGGUGUGGAGCUAAUCAUUCGGUUGAUGGUCUAAUCGUGCAAAGGGACAAACUAUAGUCUAAAGUCAGACAUGCCAGAAAACUAUAAAUAUCGAUUUGUUCUUUUCUUAUGUGUUUGUUUUUAGGCUACAAUGGAAGUAUUGACUGCCAUAUACUCGUGAAUUAAUCUAUAUGAAUUGUUUAUGUUGGCCAUAUGCCAAUAUA